ACGACCUUACUUGAACAGGAUCUGUUCUAUAGGCUCGUACAUCUGACUCAGUAAGAGAAAGAUAGCAAGGAAUUUAAACUUGGAAGAUGAUAUACGACUGCUGGGCCCGAGCGUGAUGUACUAUACAACCAGCGCGAUCAUCCGUAUCGUGCUGGGUGUGUGUGGUUGAGGAUCGUUCUCGAGCGCAGUUAACCUGCCCUCAGAGAUGGUCGAGCGGUGGUCUGACAAGUU
rnacentral:snoRNA from 1 species